rnacentral:rRNA from 1 species
UACGAAGGGGGCUAGCGUUGCUCGGAAUUACUGGGCGUAAAGGGCGCGUAGGCGGACAGUUUAGUCGGGGGUGAAAGCCCGGGGCUCAACCUCGGAAUUGCCUUCGAUACUGGCUGUCUUGAGUACGGGAGAGGUGUGUGGAACUCCGAGUGUAGAGGUGAAAUUCGUAGAUAUUCGGAAGAACACCAGUGGCGAAGGCGACACACUGGCCCGUUACUGACGCUGAGGCGCGAAAGCGUGGGGAGCAAAACAGG